ACGUGCAGGGGAGGAGAGACUAG
rnacentral:piRNA from 1 species